rnacentral:ncRNA from 5 species
GGCACGGUGAUUGCGUAGGACGCACAUGCAGGUACAACGGCGUGCCUGCAACAACAUGCAGACGAUGC